rnacentral:lncRNA from 1 species
ACAAGGUUAUAUAGUCACACCGUUUCUCUUUCAUGCAUCACGUCCAAAGGGUCAAUUUCAUUUUUCUACAUCUUGGCAAAGGGAUGAUAAGUUUCCACGCAGAACACUCUGGAAUACUGUGCUACAGCAGUAAGUAUUGCACACUCUGUGUUCGUGGAAGAGACGGAAUGAAAUUGGGAAACAGGCUUUUGAUCUUCACCACAGACGUGACGUGACCAUGAGAGGAGACCAGCGUCUCCCGUCUCUUGUCUCUAUCCCAGCAUGAUGCGACACUGAGAGGAGGACAGCCAAACAAAGGAGCACCAGGAAGGUUGGCCAGUGCUGUUGGUCUUGGACAGCAUUCAGGUAAUUUCCCGCUCCAGUCAUGAGGUCAGUGUUUGAGGAGGCGGCUGCCUCUUCUCUCCAUCCCCUUCCUGGUAAGCUGCAGGAUACAUUGCUGCCGUGUCCUUUUGUCCGGCAUGUUGACAUUCGUAUUUACUCCACAACACCCUGCUGGGAAAUGUAGGGUGGGACUUAGUGAAAACAGAGAGAAUACUGUCUGAAAGCAUCAGCUUAUGUUAAAGACAGAGGGGGACACGCCUGUGUUUGAGUUGCUUUGUGAAGUUAUCCAUCUUGCAUUAACAAGUUUAGGUAGUCACGGGAUCACUCCUGUCACGGACCGCUAACACGGCACACACAGUACAGUCAUGGUCAAAUUUUUUUGGCAGUGACACUAACUCUGUGUUUUGCAAAACGUUGCUGCUUCAGUUUUAUUCGUGGUGGCGAUUCACAUCGUUUCUAGAUUAUUGUGCAGUGAUCAGAUGCAUUUUGAAUGAACUGCAAAGAGCUUCAUUGGCAUACAAAAUGAACUUAAUCACAAAAUGAAGUUGUGCCAACAGUGAAGCAUCCUGAGACCAUCCUGGGGUCUCUUCUCAUCCAAAGGAGAGGGCCUACUCACAA